CACCGAAUACGAAACGGACGUAACGUGGUCAAAACAUGGUGGAUACGCCGUUGGUACUUCCUAUAUAUAAGUGUUUCACUAGAUUACAAAACUUUCGUAAAAUGUGCCGUGAGAAAUUCAGUGUUUUGUAGACCUUUUGGACCUAAUACAAACUUUAAACAACUCACAAACGCAUUUAUCCGUUUAUCCACGACGAGACUUCAUUCUUAGCACGCUACUUUCGUCUAUCUGUUACUUAUGCGAUUCUUAUACUCAUAAUCGUUUACUUGAUCAAUCGUUCACCCUUAUACCUCAAUUAUUCUCUUUUGUCUCAACUCCAAGGCCUCGAUUUUAAACAAUCCUCUUCUGUUCGCCAAAACCCUUUCAAGUCUUUCUUCUGAAUAAAUUUCGGGACGAAAUUUCCUAAAGGAGGGGAGACUGUAAUGCCCCGUAAUUUCACAUUUCUAUAUAUUUUUCGAAAAUUUGUAUUCGCUUCUAUUUUUUUUUGUAGAAUCACAGGCGAAAUCGGAUCGAAAAGCGGAUUAGAAACGACCACCGAAACGACUCCCGUGUUAUUUAACGAAACGACGAACGUACGCGUCAAAUAUUAAAUAACGGCAUCAUUUUACACGUUUUGUACCUAAAACUACAUUUUACUACAUUUCAGGACACUCGGGUUCGAAAACGGACCUCGUAGACGCGACCGCGCUCCUCCAAAAUGCUAGAAACGAGUAACGGGCCUUGGGCCCAACAUACCAAACCCUACCUAUUUAAAGCUAAACACACACACUCUACACACACUCACACCACCGCACACACACACACACGCAGCUCUCCCCUCUCUCUCGUUCCAUUUUUGGUGACCGACUUCCGGCAAAGCUCCGGUGAUCGACUUCCGGGGGGGGGGUGAAGGCGCGUACCCCCUAAACAGAACCCCCUGAUCACGAAUCCGGCAUCCGUUUUCUCAUCGGAGCAACGGAGGUGCCCGUUCUCGUCUACGGCAUCCUUGGUUCGAGUUCAAGCCUGUUUCUCCGGUGGUGCCGGUGACGGGACGAUGAUGAGAGCGAUGGUUACGAGUCGGUGUAGAUGAUCGAUGAUGAAGACGGUGAGGACCGACGGCGCCGUCGUCGGAGCCACGGCCGACAGCAGCGGCAGUAGUGGUGGUUCCGAUUCGGGUUCGGAUCUAGACCAGUCGGCUCGGGUUACCGGUUUCCGGUGACAGUCGGGUUUGGUUUAGAUGUUUCAGUUUGUUCCGGUUCAAGUUGGUUUAAGUCGAGUUUCAGUUCUGGUUUGGAGCUGUUCUUAUUUCGGGUGCUCGGGUUUCAGCUCAACACGGUGUAACUCGGGUCGGUUUCAGGUCACGACAGGACUAGACGCCUGCCGCCGUUUCGGUUAAGUGCUCUCGUUCAAUCUCUUGGAAUUCUCCAAUCUUUACUCGUGCGACACUUCGAGAAUUCUCCAAAUGCAACCACUGUGGAUGUUGACGAUGCAUGGAAUCUAGUAGGAUGCUUAGAUACACACUUAAAAAGAAUUGUAUUCAUAUUGUGUUAUUUUAUUAUUCAAGUUGUUAUAUUUUGUUUCAAAACUUGUAAUUGAUCCUUUAGAAAUUGAAUGAAAUGAUUAUUUAAAUACCUGUCACAAUUAUUAGCGUUAUG